GACGAACGCUGGCGGCGUGCUUAACACAUGCAAGUCGAACGGAAAGGCCCUGCUUUUGUUGGGUGCUCGAGUGGCGAACGGGUGAGUAACACGUGAGUAACCUGCCCUUGACUUUGGGAUAACUUCAGGAAACUUGGGCUAAUACCGGAUAGGAGCUCCUGCUGCAUUGUGGUGGUUGGAAAGUUUCGGCGGUUGUGGAUGGACUCGCGGCUUAUCAGCUUGUUGGUGGGGUAGUGGAUUACCAAGGCUUUGACGGGUAGCCGGCCUGAGAGGGUGACCGGCAACAUUGGGACUGAGAUACGGCACAGACUAGUAAGGGAGGCAGCAGUGGGGAAGAUUGCACGAUGGGCGGAAGCCUGAUGAAGCAAGGCCGCGUGAGGGAUGACGGACUUCGGGUUGUAAACCGCUUUCGCAUGUGACGAAGCGUGAGUGACGGUAAUGGGUAAAGAAGCACCGGCUAACUACGUG
rnacentral:rRNA from 1 species